rfam:Triticum urartu cultivar G1812 contig229889, whole genome shotgun sequence.
UAAUUACUCCUUCCGUUCCGAAUUAUUUGUCGCAGGUAUGGAUGUGUUUAGAUGUAUUUUAGUUCUAAAUACAUCCAUUUCUAAGACGAGUAAUUUGGAACGGAUGGAGUAGUAA